AUUGAACGCUGGCGGCAUGCCUAACACAUGCAAGUCGAGCGGAUGAAGCGUUCUUUCUCCUGGAUUCAUCUGCGGACGGUUGUGUAAUUCCUAUGAAUCUGCCUGGUAGUUUGUUAUAACGUCCGGAAACGGGCGCUAAUACCGCCUACGUCCUGAUGUCGCAAGUGGUGGUUCUUCGGACCUCUCGCUAUCUUAUGAGCCUAGGUCCGAUUAGCUAGUUGGUUGGGGAAAGUCCUACCAAGGCGACGAUCCGUAACUGGUCUGAGAGGAUGAUCAGUCAGACGGGAAGUGAGAAACGGUACAGACUACGACGGGAGGAAGCAGUGGGGAAUAUUGGACAAUGGGGGAAAGCAUGAUAAAGGAAAGCCGAGUGAGGGAAGAAGGACUUCGGAUUGGAAAGAACUGUAAGUUGGGAGGAAGGGAAGUAAGUUAAGACGUUGCUGUAAUGACGGUAACAAAAGAAUAAGCACCGGCUAACUACGUG
rnacentral:rRNA from 1 species